rnacentral:lncRNA from 1 species
GUCCUCCCCAAAAAAUGGACUUUGGUUUUGAAAAACCAAAGGGUGAUAAUGAUUUCUCAUUGAGAAUGAUAGUUUCUUAAUUAGUAACUGGACAUAUACAUUUCUCAGGCAUCAAAAUCCACUAUCCAGGAAAUUCUUGUUACUAUCUGAAAAACGAAAUGGGAAGUGAAUCUCUCUCAUAGGCUAUUGUGGCUAAUAAUAGUUUACAAAUCACUGUCAUCCGCACUGAUUCAUUCAUUCAUUUCCUCUCUCUCGACCAACAACCAUGCAUUUGACUAGAUCAUAGCUUUUAUUAUAUCUUCUUAUCCAGUUAUAUCUUCCAGAGGAUACCAGUUAGACAAUUUACCUUUAUCUCUUUGGUGAAGACUUAGAAAAAUAUUUUAAUUUCAUCACCAACACCUCUCUGAAACAGGUCUUGGGAUGAUGUGCUUUCAUUGCAUAGAAAAGUGAAUGAAAUUUAUAUUGAUUUUUACUAGCUUCAGUUUCAAAAGAUAGUGUUUUUUCCAAAUGUAUUUGUAGCAUUUCCUGUAAUACUGUAACUAUAAGGUUAUGGUGAUAAGAGAAUAUAUGACUGAAUUGUUAAUGAAUGAAGAGGAAAAUUACAGUGGUUUGGAAUAUUCAAAGAAAGAUUCAUGGAGAGGAUGAAAUUUGAACUAGUCUGUAACUGCCUUUUUAUAGAGCAUAUAAUUACUUUAGAAUAAUUAAUUUGGAUUAAUAUACCAAUAACUACUGUGGAUGAAACAGGGCUGGCCUUUUAAGCAAAGGAUUUAAAUUAAGCCUGUUCUUAAAUGGUUCCACUAUCUUUGAUGGGUCUAAGGUGGAAAAGCAAAAAAGAAAAUAUACUUUUUACAGCCUUUCCUCUUAAAAAAGUGAUUUUACUAUUCUAGAGAAGUUUUCUUUUCGGAUUUAUUGCCCAAUUGCAGUUUCAGGAAGAUCCUUUCUUACUAAGUUUAAUGAAUUUUUUAAUGUGCUCAUAGUUUUUGUAUCCCCACCUAAGUUAUAAUAAUAAUAAUGAAUAUUCAAGGAAGGGGAGAUUUUGUUUGUUUUGAUAAAAACAUUGAGAACAGAUAAAAGCAAACCCUAUCAUUCUGUUUGGAUUCUAACAAAUUUGGAACAAACAGGAUUCUAACUAUUUUGGAAAAAAAAUAGUAGGUGACCAGGCACAGUAGUUUACACCUGUAACCAAGCACUUUGGGAGGCCAAGGCAGGCAAAUUGCUUGAGCCCAACAGUUCAAGAGCAGCCUAGGCAACAUGCAAAACUCCUUCUCUACAAAAAUAAAAAAAUUAGCUGUGCAUGGUGGUGUGCAACUGUAGUCCCAGCUACUGAGGAGGCUGAGGUGGGAGGUUCGCUUGAUACUGGGAGUUAGAGGUUGCAGUGAGCCAAGAUCUCGCCACUGCACUCCAGCCUUAGCAACAGAGCAAGACACUGUCUCAAAAAUAUAUUUAUAAAGAAGUGGCCUGGCAAGAUCCCAGAUACAGAAAGUGGGUUAUAAGCAGUUAUCCACAGUCUCCAGUAGGUGUCGUUACAGAACCAGAAGAUAGAAACUACAUGAAUAGGGAAGUUAAGUUUCUAAUUUCCUGUUAUGCCAGAUAUGAUAUUUAUGUAAAAUAUCAGGCUGUUUGCUUUUUGGCCUUACAUUUGAGUUCUAGAGAAGAAAGGUCUUAAUUAAAGUAUCUAAAUUUAAACAGCAACCGAAUAUUUCAAGCCAUUUUGUUGUUAUUGUGGUUAGCCUUAUGUUUAAACAGUUGUGUAACAUGUGGUUGUCCUAAGGUUGGAAAUAAUACUUACGUAAUAUAAAUUAAUGCACAAUUUAUUAAUGCAUAUGUAAUUGUCUUUUAAAUUAGUUGAUUCUCUCUAUUCUGACUGUAGGGUUCUAACGUAAAAAUGUUUACCGGUUGGAAAGUCAAGAUAUUUUAUACAGAAAAGAAAUAAUAUUGAUCUCAAUCAUGUAUUGUUUGUGGUUACUUUUUUUUUCUUUGAGACAGCCCAGGCUGGAGUGCGGUGGCUCACUGCAACAUCCGCCUCCUGGGUUUCAAGUGAUUCUCCUGCCUCAGCCUCCCAAGUAGCUGGGAUUACAGGCAUGCACCCCCAUGCCUGGCUAAUUUUUGCAUCUUUUAGUGGAGAUGGGGUUUCAUAAUGUUGGCCAAGCUGGUCUCAAUCUCCUGACCUCAGGUGAUCCGCCCUCCUCGGCCUCCCAAAGUGCUGAGAUUAUAGGCAUGAGCCACUAUGCCCAGCCUGUGUGUGGUUACUUUAUUUUUUGUUUUGUUUUGUUUUGAGACAGAGUUUUGCUCUGUCAACCAGGCUGGAGUGCAGUGGCACCAUCUCGGCUCACUGCAACCUCCGCCUCCCAGGUUCAAGUGAUUCUCCUGCCUCGGCCUCCCGAGUAGCUGGGACUACAGCACACGCCACCAUGCCUGGCUAAUUUUUAUAUUUUUAGUAGAGAUGGGCUUUCGCCAUGUUGGCCAGGCUGUUCUUGAACUCCUGACCUCAGGUGAUCUGCCCCCGUCAGCCUCCCAAAGUCCUGGGAUUACAGGUGUAAGCUACUGCUCCUGGCCUGCGUUUGUGGUUGCUUUUAAAUAGAUUUUCAUCUAAUUGCAAAGAAUGAGUUGAUUAAUUCACCUGAGGAUUGUUCCACCCCUGACUUGCACAUUGGAAUUAUCCAGGCAAAUUUUUAAGAUACUGAAGAUCCUGAUUAGUAUGGUAUGCAUACUAUGGUGGUGGGCACUGAAAGUUUUUAAACUCCUUAGGUGAUUGUGAUAAAUGGACUGCUUCAACAAAUGAUGUCACUUGGGAAUGGAUGGACAGAGAGGAAAAGCUUAAACAGUUAUAAUUCUCAGUAGUAAAAAAUUUUGCCAUUAUAUACCCUCUAAAAAG